CUGGUUGCAACUGGUGGAUAG
rnacentral:miRNA from 15 species